GAUGAACGCUGGCGGCGUGCCUAAUACAUGCAAGUCGAGCGAACGGACGAGAAGCUUGCUUCUCUGAUGUUAGCGGCGGACGGGUGAGUAACACGUGGAUAACCUACCUAUAAGACUGGGAUAACUUCGGGAAACCGGAGCUAAUACCGGAGAAUAUUUUGAACCGCAUGGUUCAAAAGUGAAAGACGGUCUUGCUGUCACUUAUAGAUGGAUCCGCGCUGCAUUAGCUAGUUGGUAAGGUAACGGCUUACCAAGGCAACGAUGCAUAGCCGACCUGAGAGGGUGAUCGGCCACACUGGAACUGAGACACGGUCCAGACUCCUACGGGAGGCAGCAGUAGGGAAUCUUCCGCAAUGGGCGAAAGCCUGACGCAGCAACGCCGCGUGAGUGAUGAAGGUCUUCGGAUCGUAAAACUCUGUUAUUAGGGAAGAACAUAUGUGUAAGUAACUGUGCACAUCUUGACGGUACCUAAUCAGAAAGCCCCGGCUAACUACGUG
rnacentral:rRNA from 1 species